UAGGGAAUCUUCCACAAUGGACGAAAGUCUGAUGGAGCAACGCCGCGUGAGUGAAGAAGGUUUUCGGAUCGUAAAGCUCUGUUGUUGGUGAAGAAGCAUAGAGGUAGUAACUGGCCUUUAUUCGACGGUAAUCAACCAGAAAGUCACGGCUAACUACGUGCCAGCAGCUGCGGUAAUACGUAGGUGGCAAGCGUUGUCCGGAUUUAUUGGGCGUAAAGCGAGCGCAGGCGGAAAAAGAAGUCUGAUGUGAAAGCCCUCGGCUCAAACCGAGGGAUUGCAUCGGAAACUGAUUUUCUUGAGUGCAGAAGAGGAGAGUGGAGCUCCAUGUGUAGCGGUGGAAUGCGUAGAUAUAUGGAAGAACACCAGUGGCGAAAGCGGCUCUCUGGUCUGUCACUGACGCUGAGGCUCGAAAGCAUGGGGUAGCAAACAGGAUUAGAUACC
rnacentral:rRNA from 1 species